rnacentral:lncRNA from 1 species
AUGAUCUUGUGUUGUAGCCUGCACUUGUUGCAAUUGGUUUUCAUCAUCGGAACUUGUUUCAGAAAGUUCUAGAUUAUUCUUCUUUUUCCUUCUUCCUCUUCCAACUGAUUUACCUGUUCCUUUAACACUCAUACCUUUUUUGGUCUUUUUACCGUUUCCCUCUUGAGUUGACAAUUCUGAUUUUUCCGUAUGCUGCUUUAAUUCUCCAUCGUUUUUAUCUUCACGUUUACCUUUCUUUUUCUUGUUCCCGUUGGAUGGAGACAGCUGCUCAUUGUAAUCCAUUAACUCCGAGCUUUUGCUCCCUGCCAUUCCUUUCACAGCUUUGCUUAUCCUCUUGCUACGAAUUUUAGCGAAUCGUUCAUUAAAAGUGUAAAACGCUUCCAAUCGCAAUUGAGUCUGCACAAACCAAAUCGUCAAAAUCAGACAUGUUUUCUCUUUAAAUUAAUUAAAUAUAGGGAAACGGAGAUGAAGAAGAUGGAGACCUCAUGUUUGUUGUACUCCUUUAGAACAGGUAGUAGCAACUCAUCCGCCUUCUGUGUGCC